rnacentral:rRNA from 1 species
UUAAGCGACUAAGCGUACACGGUGGAUGCCCUGGCAGUCAGAGGCGAUGAAGGACGUGCUAAUCUGCGAAAAGCGUCGGUAAGGUGAUAUGAACCGUUAUAGCCGGCGAUGUCCGAAUGGGGAAACCCAGUGUGAUUCGUCACACUAUCGUUAACUGAAUACAUAGGUUAACGAGGCGAACCGGGGGAACUGAAACAUCUAAGUACCCCGAGGAAAAGAAAUCAACCGAGAUUCCCCCAGUAGCGGCGAGCGAACGGGGAGCAGCCCAGAGUCUGAAUCAGCUUGUGUGUUAGUGGAACGGUCUGGAAAGUCCGACGGUACAGGGUGAUAGUCCCGUACACCAAAAUGCACAGGCUGUGAACUCGAAGAGUAGGGCGGGACACGUGGUAUCCUGUCUGAAUAUGGGGGGACCAUCCUCCAAGGCUAAAUACUCCUGACUGACCGAUAGUGAACCAGUACCGUGAGGGAAAGGCGAAAAGAACCCCGGCGAGGGGAGUGAAAAAGAACCUGAAACCGUGUACGUACAAGCAGUGGGAGCACCUUCGGGUGUGACUGCGUACCUUUUGUAUAAUGGGUCAGCGACUUAUAUUCUGUAGCAAGGUUAACCGUAUAGGGGAGCCGCAGGGAAACCGAGUCUUAACUGGGCGUUAAGUUGCAGGGUAUAGACCCGAAACCCGGUGAUCUAGCCAUGGGCAGGUUGAAGGUUGGGUAACACUAACUGGAGGACCGAACCGACUAAUGUUGAAAAAUUAGCGGAUGACUUGUGGCUGGGGGUGAAAGGCCAAUCAAACCGGGAGAUAGCUGGUUCUCCCCGAAAGCUAUUUAGGUAGCGCCUCGUGAAUUCAUCUUCGGGGGUAGAGCACUGUUUCGGCUAGGGGGUCAUCCCGACUUACCAACCCGAUGCAAACUACGAAUACCGAAGAAUGUUAUCACGGGAGACACACGGCGGGUGCUAACGUCCGUCGUGAAGAGGGAAACAACCCAGACCGCCAGCUAAGGUCCCAAAGUCAUGGUUAAGUGGGAAACGAUGUGGGAAGGCACAGACAGCCAGGAUGUUGGCUUAGAAGCAGCCAUCAUUUAAAGAAAGCGUAAUAGCUCACUGGUCGAGUCGGCCUGCGCGGAAGAUGUAACGGGGCUAAACCAUGCACCGAAGCUGCGGCAGCGACACUAUGUGUUGUUGGGUAGGGGAGCGUUCUGUAAGCCUGCGAAGGUGACCUGUGAGGGUUGCUGGAGGUAUCAGAAGUGCGAAUGCUGACAUAAGUAACGAUAAAGCGGGUGAAAAGCCCGCUCGCCGGAAGACCAAGGGUUCCUGUCCAACGUUAAUCGGGGCAGGGUGAGUCGACCCCUAAGGCGAGGCCGAAAGGCGUAGUCGAUGGGAAACAGGUUAAUAUUCCUGUACUUGGUGUUACUGCGAAGGGGGGACGGAGAAGGCUAUGUUAGCCGGGCGACGGUUGUCCCGGUUUAAGCAUGUAGGCUGGUUGUCCAGGCAAAUCCGGAUAAUCAAGGCUGAGGUGUGAUGACGAGGCACUACGGUGCUGAAGUAACAAAUGCCCUGCUUCCAGGAAAAGCCUCUAAGCAUCAGGUAACAUUAAAUCGUACCCCAAACCGACACAGGUGGUCAGGUAGAGAAUACCAAGGCGCUUGAGAGAACUCGGGUGAAGGAACUAGGCAAAAUGGUGCCGUAACUUCGGGAGAAGGCACGCUGGUGUGUAGGUGAAGUCCCUGCGGAUGGAGCUGAGACCAGUCGAAGAUACCAGCUGGCUGCAACUGUUUAUUAAAAACACAGCACUGUGCAAACACGAAAGUGGACGUAUACGGUGUGACGCCUGCCCGGUGCCGGAAGGUUAAUUGAUGGGGUUAUCCGUAAGGAGAAGCUCUUGAUCGAAGCCCCGGUAAACGGCGGCCGUAACUAUAACGGUCCUAAGGUAGCGAAAUUCCUUGUCGGGUAAGUUCCGACCUGCACGAAUGGCGUAAUGAUGGCCAGGCUGUCUCCACCCGAGACUCAGUGAAAUUGAACUCGCUGUGAAGAUGCAGUGUACCCGCGGCAAGACGGAAAGACCCCGUGAACCUUUACUAUAGCUUGACACUGAACAUUGAGCCUUGAUGUGUAGGAUAGGUGGGAGGCUUUGAAGCGUGGACGCCAGUCUGCGUGGAGCCAACCUUGAAAUACCACCCUUUAAUGUUUGAUGUUCUAACGUUGGCCCCUUACCGGGGUUGCGGACAGUGUCUGGUGGGUAGUUUGACUGGGGCGGUCUCCUCCCAAAGCGUAACGGAGGAGCACGAAGGUUAGCUAAUCCUGGUCGGACAUCAGGAGGUUAGUGCAAUGGCAUAAGCUAGCUUGACUGCGAGCGUGACGGCGCGAGCAGGUGCGAAAGCAGGUCAUAGUGAUCCGGUGGUUCUGAAUGGAAGGGCCAUCGCUCAACGGAUAAAAGGUACUCCGGGGAUAACAGGCUGAUACCGCCCAAGAGUUCAUAUCGACGGCGGUGUUUGGCACCUCGAUGUCGGCUCAUCACAUCCUGGGGCUGAAGUAGGUCCCAAGGGUAUGGCUGUUCGCCAUUUAAAGUGGUACGCGAGCUGGGUUUAGAACGUCGUGAGACAGUUCGGUCCCUAUCUGCCGUGGGCGCUGGAGAAUUGAGGGGGGCUGCUCCUAGUACGAGAGGACCGGAGUGGACGCAUCACUGGUGUUCGGGUUGUCAUGCCAAUGGCACUGCCCGGUAGCUAAAUGCGGAAGAGAUAAGUGCUGAAAGCAUCUAAGCACGAAACUUGCCCCGAGAUGAGUUCUCCCUGAGACUUUAAGUCUCCUGAAGGAACGUUAAAGACGAUGACGUUGAUAGGCCGGGUGUGUAAGCGCAGCGAUGCGUUGAGCUAACCGGUACUAAUGAACCGUGAGGCUUAACCUU